UUUUUUAUUUUGCAGGAUAUUGGAACUUACUCCAUUUAGAAAAUCUCUGGAAAAUGGAAGAGUGAAUUCACAGUAAAGCUUUAGGAAGUUCUUUAUCACUAUCAACACUUUGGAAUCUGGGUGCUGCCAAGAGAUGUGGGCUGCUGUUUUCCAUGUUUACCAUCAUACUUAAAGGCCCUGUCCAAUUAGGAAUAUGGGAAACAACAUUUUUGCUUCACCCUAUUGUAUCAAUGAGUAGCAUAAAAU